CGGAGGGUGCGAGCGUUGUCCGGAAUCACUGGGCGUAAAGGGCGCGUAGGUGGCCUGUGGAAGUCUGCGGUGAAAGCCCGGCGCUCAACGCCGGGUCGGCCGUGGAUACUCUCGGGCUCGAGCUCACUAGAGGCAGAUGGAAUUCCGGGUGUAGCGGUGGAAUGCGUAGAGAUCCGGAAGAACACCGGUGGCGAAGGCGGUCUGCUGGGGUGAUGCUGACACUGAUGCGCGACAGCGUGGGGAGCAAACAGGAUUAGAUACCCUGGUAGUCCACGCCGUAAACGAUGGGCACUAGAUGCUUGGGGGAGCGACCCCCUGAGUGUCGUCGCUAACGCAUUAAGUGCCCCGCCUGGGGAGUACGGCCGCAAGGCUG
rnacentral:rRNA from 1 species